rnacentral:sRNA from 1 species
GGUCUCCGUUGGUGAACCAGCGGAGGGAUCAUUACCGAGUUUUCAACUCCCAAACCCCAUGUGAACUUAUACCAUUUACAACCGUUGCUUCGGCGGGUUCUCGCCCCGGGCUUUACACCCCGGAACCAGGCGGCCCGCCGGGGGACCCAAACUCUAGAUUUAUAUUUUAGCAUGUCUGAGUGGAAUCAUUACAAAAUGAAUCAAAACUUUCAACAACGGAUCUCUUGGUUCUGGCAUCGAUGAAGAACGCAGCGAAAUGCGAUAAGUAAUGUGAAUUGCAGAAUUCAGUGAAUCAUCGAAUCUUUGAACGCACAUUGCGCCCGCCAGUAUUCUGGCGGGCAUGCCUGUUCGAGCGUCAUUUCAACCCUCAAGCCCCAGCGGUUUGGUGUUGGGGACCGGCGAGUACAGAGGCUUUGGGGACUUGUCCCCCUUCCCUCGGCGCCGCCCCCGAAAUGAAUUGGCGGUCUCGUCGCGGCCUCCUCUGCGUAGUAGCACAACCUCGCAUCAGGAGCGCGGCGCGGCCACUGCCGUAAAACGCCCAACUUUUUUUAAGAGUUGACCUCGAAUCAGGUAGGAAUACCCGCUGAACUUAAGCAUAUCAAUAAGCGGAGGAAAAGAAACCAACAGGGAUUGCCCCAGUAACGGCGAGUGAAGCGGCAACAGCUCAAAUUUGAAAUCUGGCCCCUAGGGCCCGAGUUGUAAUUUGCAGAGGAUGCUUUUGGCGAGGUGCCUUCCGAGUUCCCUGGAACGGGACGCCAUAGAGGGUGAGAGCCCCGUCUGGUUGGAUGCCGAGCCUCUGUAAAGCUCCUUCGACGAGUCGAGUAGUUUGGGAAUGCUGCUCUAAAUGGGAGGUAUAUGUCUUCUAAAGCUAAAUACCGGCCAGAGACCGAUAGCGCACAAGUAGAGUGAUCGAAAGAUGAAAAGCACUUUGAAAAGAGGGUUAAAUAGUACGUGAAAUUGUUGAAAGGGAAGCACUUAUGACCAGACUUGGACCCGGUGAAUCAUCCAGCGUUCUCGCUGGUGCACUUUGCCGGGCUCAGGCCAGCAUCAGUUUGCCUCGGGGGAUAAAGGCUUUGGGAAUGUGGCUCCCUCGGGAGUGUUAUAGCCCAUUGCACAAUACCCUGGGGCGGACUGAGGUUCGCGCAUCUGCAAGGAUGCUGGCGUAA